CGGGGACGCGGCGGACGGCUCAGGACAACGGUUGCACCCCCCGCGGCGGUCCCUGCUAGCCGGACACCGCUGGCAACCCGGCGCCAAGACGUGCGCGCAAGGGCGGGCGCCCGCGGGCGAGCAGCGUGACGCAG
rnacentral:rRNA from 1 species